GUCAUAUCCUCCAAUAAUCCUUUCUCCAAAAUGCAUUCCACAAAGCUACGCCGGAAGGUGGUUCCGGCAAACGGAGACCUCGACAACUCCGCCGACAAGCAAGACCAGCUCCUACUCUCCGUAGCUAUCUGCAACGGCGAGGACCUCGGCUCUUUCGUCCGCAAGGCCUUCGCUUCCGGUAAGCCCGAGACACUCCUCCACAAUCUCCGCCACUUCUCUCGCUCCAAAGAGUCAGAAAUUGAGGAAUUUUGUAAAGCUCACUACCAAGACUUCAACCUAGCCGUCGAUGACCUUCGAUCCUUGCUCUCCGACGUUGACUCAUUGAAAUCCUCCCUUUCCGAUUCCAACUCCAAGCUUCAGUCCGUCGCUGGCCCUCUAUUAACUGUUCUAGACUCCUACAUCGAGGUCCAAACCGUCUCUCGCAAUGUGA
rnacentral:misc_RNA from 1 species